rnacentral:rRNA from 1 species
UACGGAGGGUGCAAGCGUUGUCCGGAUUUAUUGGGUUUAAAGGGUGCGUAGGUGGCUUAUUAAGUCAGUGUUUAAAGUCUGCAGCUUAACUGUAGGUAUGGCAUUGAUACUGAUAGGCUUGAGUAAAGUUGAGGUAGGCGGAAUUGAAGGUGUAGCGGUGAAAUGCAUAGAUAUCUUCAAGAACACCGAUUGCGAAGGCAGCUUACUAAGCUUUAACUGACACUGAGGCACGAAAGCGUGGGGAUCAAACAGGAUUAGAAACCCCCGUAGUCC